ACUCAAAACCCUUCAGUGACUU
rnacentral:miRNA from 1 species